rnacentral:rRNA from 1 species
UGAACGCUGGCGGCAGGCCUAACACAUGCAAGUCGAGCGGAUGAAGGGAGCUUGCUCCUGGCUUCAGCGGCGGACGGGUGAGUAAUGCCUAGGAAUCUGCCUGGUAGUGGGGGAUAACGUCCGGAAACGGGCGCUAAUACCGCAUACGUCCUGAGGGAGAAAGUGGGGGAUCUUCGGACCUCACGCUAUCAGAUGAGCCUAGGUCGGAUUAGCUAGUUGGUGGGGUAAAGGCCUACCAAGGCGACGAUCCGUAACUGGUCUGAGAGGAUGAUCAGUCACACUGGAACUGAGACACAGUCCAGACUCCUACGGGAGGCAGCAGUGGGGAAUAUUGGACAAUGGGCGAAAGCCUGAUCCAGCCAUGCCGCGUGUGUGAAGAAGGUCUUCGGAUUGUAAAGCACUUUAAGUUGGGAGGAAGGGCAGUAAGUUAAUACCUUGCUGUUUUGACGUUACCAACAGAAUAAGCACCGGCUAACUUCGUG